rnacentral:rRNA from 1 species
AUUGAACGCUGGCGGCAGGCCUAACACAUGCAAGUCGAACGAGUCGCGGACGUGUGAGUCCUGUCUGGGAAACUCCCUGUUGGUGGGGGAUAACUACUGGAACCGGUAGCUAAUACCGCAUACCAUCCGAUGUCCCCCGAUGGCAUUAGCUAGUAGGUGGGGUAAAGGCUCACCUAGGCGACGAUCCCUAGCUGGUCUGAGAGGAUUACAAGCCACUCUGGAACUGAGACACGGUCCAGACUCCUAAGGGAGGCAGCAGUGGGGAAUAUUGCACAAUGGGCGCAAGCCUGAUGCAGCCAUGCCGCGUGUAUGAAGAAGGCCUUCGGGUUGUAAAGUACUUUCAGCGGGUAGGCGGGAACCGAAGAAGAAGCACAGGCUAACUCCGUGCCAGCCGCCGCGGUAAUAG